GAUCAUGGCUCAGGAUGAACGCUAGCUACAGGCUUAACACAUGCAAGUCGAGGGGAAACGAUAGAGAGAGCUUGCUUUUUCUAGGCGUCGACCGGUGCACGGGUGAGUAACGCGUAUCCAACCUGCCCACCACUUGGGGAUAACCUUGCGAAAGUAAGACUAAUACCCAAUGAUAUCUCUAGAAGACAUCUGAAGGAGAUUAAAGAUUCAUCGGUGAUGGAUGGGGAUGCGU
rnacentral:rRNA from 1 species